rnacentral:lncRNA from 1 species
AUUCGUAAUAUUCACCUCGUUUUCAAUCCAAUUUUUUGAAAAAUUCGUACGAGUUUAAUUUACCUUCGAAUCAAUCCAAUAGCUCAUAUUCAACUUUUACGGAGCAAAAUUUUACAUAAAAAUUUUAACAUCAUAAAAUAUUAUAAUUAAAGAUUGUUGGAUUCUACAUCAUUCUCACUAUCACGCCCCACGACCGCCAAUUAGACUGCUUCGGGUACGUCUAUCAGACGCCGAACAGACAGAACCUCCUCUGUCUGCCCAAGGCUCCACAAUCAAGACAACAUGUAUAAUAAAUUCGCCCAGAAAUGAAUUUCAAUUAUACAUGGCUUGCACAAGGGCAAGCAACAAUAUAAGUGAAAGUACUAACUAUUUAAACAUUCAUUGU